AUUGAACGCUGGCGGCAUGCCUUACACAUGCAAGUCGAACGGCAGCACGGGAGCAAUCCUGGUGGCGAGUGGCGAACGGGUGAGUAAUAUAUCGGAACGUGCCCAGUCGUGGGGGAUAACGUAGCGAAAGCUACGCUAAUACCGCAUACGAUCUAUGGAUGAAAGCGGGGGAUCGCGAGACCUCGCGCGAUUGGAGCGGCCGAUAUCAGAUUAGGUAGUUGGUGGGGUAAAGGCUCACCAAGCCGACGAUCUGUAGCUGGUCUGAGAGGACGACCAGCCACACUGGGACUGAGACACGGCCCAGACUCCUACGGGAGGCAGCAGUGGGGAAUUUUGGACAAUGGGCGCAAGCCUGAUCCAGCAAUGCCGCGUGCAGGAUGAAGGCCUUCGGGUUGUAAACUGCUUCUGUACGGAGCGAAAAGGCUCUCUCUAAUACAGGGGGCUCAUGACGGUACCGUAAGAAUAAGCACCGGCUAACUACGUGCCAGCCGCCGCAGUAA
rnacentral:rRNA from 1 species